GGUGUGUAUGGGACGGAAUGUUGGGGCUAGAGUGAGGCAGCUCAACUGCUAGAGUGAGAGGAGCAAAAAAAAUAAUCUUAAAAUCUUUUUUAAAACUGCUGCUGUGUCCGCAGCGUUUGCUCUACAGGUAUGAUUUUACCCUCAAAACGUAGCCAUGGCUGUCCUCUUUCAUCCAAUGUGUUUACUAUUGUACUAGGUGUUAUGGUUCUUUCAUAAAUGUCACCAAUGCACAGCCUCCUCCCUCCAACUCUUCCAUAGACUCUAAUGUUAAAUUGGCUCAGAAGGUUGGUUUGAAAAUCAGAAGAGCAUGGUGUCUUUCCACUGUCACCACGUCCAUAUAAUAAACUCCACAGGCAUGAAAACUGAGAAUUCAGUAGACUAGAAGCUGCUGUCGCUCACGGUGAAAGAAUUUUGUCAAUACGACCUAUACUUUUCAUUUGGGAGCGAUUUGUUUCGGCCUGACUUUUCUGUUCAUUUUAAGCAGCAAAAGUGAGGCGCAUGUCUGUGUACGUGUGUAUGGAGCCAUUGGGUGCAGUCACUAUAGCAACCAGGCUCACACCUGCCUGCUUAACGAGCUCUGCCUGCCACUGUGCCAAGAUUCAUCUUAAGCACUUCUCUUUCAACUGCUGCUGUGUCCACAGUGUUACAGCCAUCAUUUUACCCUCAAAUUGUCGCCAUUAUUGUUCUCUUUCCAACACCGUGUCUUUCAAAGCUCAGGCAUUUAAACUUUUUAAACUGUGUGGAUCAAAGUGGAGGGAUCACAUUUGAGUCAUUCAGUGAUUCAAAGAAUAUGACCUUUUAAUAUUCAUUCAGAUGUUUUCUGACUCUAAAUGUUCUUUUCUCAUUUCUUAGGUUUUUCUAAUUUACAAUUAAAACAUUUUCAGCUUUUUUCCAACUUGUUCUUCUGUGUAACCUUCAGCUUUUAGCAGUUCAGCACUUUUGUUUUCAGGUUAAAUUCAGGUUGUUUUUUUUUUUUUUUAUCUCAUUCAAAAUUUACUCUAAUGGUUCAUUGCUACGUACUAGGAAAUGUUUUGGUGCUAAUCCUCAAAUGUUAUAGCACAGUAAGCUAGUUAGCUUUGUGACUAUGUUUGGUUAGCAUUGUGAGAAAUGCUAAGAAAUUUUUACUAUUACAUAAAAUCCUCCUGAUGCUAGCAUUACUAACUUUUUGGUGUUUUACUGCCUCUGAAAGCUCUACAGAUUUGUCUGCUGAAUGUAAACUUUGGUGAUAAAAGAGGCAGAUUUAAAGGUAUUGUAUUGUCAAGAAGAUGCGCAUAUAAUAAAACCGUAAGAAGAGAUAAAACGCAAACUUUGUAGAGGGCAUAAAGAAGGCUGAAAGAGCUAUAUGGAAAAGUAUUCAGUGUGACAAAGUAAGACACUGGGGAAGGAAAAGAAGAGAAAGGGGAUAUGGGUACAUUUUUUUUACAUCU
ensembl:lncRNA